rnacentral:tRNA from 1 species
GAGGGUAUAGCUCAAGUGGUAGAGCGCAUGCCUAGCAUGCACAAGGUCCUAGGUUCAAUCCUCAGUACUUCCU